UACGUAGGGGGCAAGCGUUGUCCGGAUUUAUUGGGCGUAAAGAGCUCGUAGGUGGUUCGGUAAGUCGGAUGUGAAAUCUCCGGGCUCAACCUGGAGGGGUCAUUCGAUACUGCCGUGACUAGAGGUCGGUAGGGGAGUGUGGAAUUCCUGGUGGAGCGGUGAAAUGCGUAGAUAUUGGGAGGAACACCAGUGGCGAAGGCGGCUCACUGGACCGGUACUGACGCUGAUGCGCGAAAGCGUGGGGAGCAAACGGG
rnacentral:rRNA from 1 species